rnacentral:rRNA from 1 species
ACGAACGCUGGCGGCGUGCUUCACACAUGCAAGUCGCACGGAAAGGCCCUGCUUGCAGGGUACUCGAGUGGCGAACGGGUGAGUAACACGUGGGUGAUCUGCCCUGCACUUCGGGAUAAGCCUGGGAAACUGGGUCUAAUACCGGAUAGGAGCCAUUUUUAGUGUGAUGGUUGGAAAGUUUUUUUCGGUGUAGGAUGAGCUCGCGGCCUAUCAGCUUGUUGGUGGGGUAAUGGCCUACCAAGGCGGCGACGGGUAGCCGGCCUGAGAGGGUGGACGGCCACAUUGGGACUGAGAUACGGCCCAGACUCCUACGGGAGGCAGCAGUGGGGAAUAUUGCACAAUGGGCGCAAGCCUGAUGCAGCGACGCCGCGUGGGGGAUGACGGCCUUCGGGUUGUAAACUCCUUUCGCUAGGGACGAAGCUUUUUGUGACGGUACCUAGAUAAGAAGCACCGGCUAACUACGUG